rnacentral:rRNA from 1 species
CAAUAGCGUAUAUUAAAGUUGUUGCAGUUAAAAAGCUCGUAGUUGGAUUUCGGGGCAGCCUGGCUGGUCCGCCGCAAGGCGAGUACUGGUCAGCCGCCCUUCCUCUCGAAAGCCCCGACUGCUCUUCGUUGCAGUGGUCGGGUAGUUCGGGACGUUUACUUUGAAAAAAUUAGAGUGUUCAAGGCAGGCCUACGCCUGAAUACAUUAGCAUGGAAUAAUGGAAGAGGACCUCAGUCCUAUUUUGUUGGUUUCCAGGGCCGAAGUAAUGAUUAAGAGGGACAGUUGGGGGCAUUCGUAUUUAAUUGUCAGAGGUGAAAUUCUCGGAUUUAUGAAAGACGAACAACUGCGAAAGCAUUUGCCAAGGAUGUUUUCAUUAA